rnacentral:rRNA from 1 species
GGGUUGUGAGGUUAAGCGACUAAGCGUACACGGUGGAUGCCCUGGCAGUCAGAGGCGAUGAAGGACGUGCUAAUCUGCGAUAAGCGUCGGUAAGGUGAUAUGAACCGUUAUAACCGGCGAUUUCCGAAUGGGGAAACCCAGUGUGUUUCGACACACUAUCAUUAACUGAAUCCAUAGGUUAAUGAGGCGAACCGGGGGAACUGAAACAUCUAAGUACCCCGAGGAAAAGAAAUCAACCGAGAUUCCCCCAGUAGCGGCGAGCGAACGGGGAGCAGCCCAGAGCCUGAAUCAGUGUGUGUGUUAGUGGAAGCGUCUGGAAAGGCGCGCGAUACAGGGUGACAGCCCCGUACACAAAAAUGCACAUGCUGUGAGCUCGAUGAGUAGGGCGGGACACGUGGUAUCCUGUCUGAAUAUGGGGGGACCAUCCUCCAAGGCUAAAUACUCCUGACUGACCGAUAGUGAACCAGUACCGUGAGGGAAAGGCGAAAAGAACCCCGGCGAGGGGAGUGAAAAAGAACCUGAAACCGUGUACGUACAAGCAGUGGGAGCACGCUUAGGCGUGUGACUGCGUACCUUUUGUAUAAUGGGUCAGCGACUUAUAUUCUGUAGCAAGGUUAACCGAAUAGGGGAGCCGAAGGGAAACCGAGUCUUAACUGGGCGUUAAGUUGCAGGGUAUAGACCCGAAACCCGGUGAUCUAGCCAUGGGCAGGUUGAAGGUUGGGUAACACUAACUGGAGGACCGAACCGACUAAUGUUGAAAAAUUAGCGGAUGACUUGUGGCUGGGGGUGAAAGGCCAAUCAAACCGGGAGAUAGCUGGUUCUCCCCGAAAGCUAUUUAGGUAGCGCCUCGUGAAUUCAUCUCCGGGGGUAGAGCACUGUUUCGGCAAGGGGGUCAUCCCGACUUACCAACCCGAUGCAAACUGCGAAUACCGGAGAAUGUUAUCACGGGAGACACACGGCGGGUGCUAACGUCCGUCGUGAAGAGGGAAACAACCCAGACCGCCAGCUAAGGUCCCAAAGUCAUGGUUAAGUGGGAAACGAUGUGGGAAGGCCCAGACAGCCAGGAUGUUGGCUUAGAAGCAGCCAUCAUUUAAAGAAAGCGUAAUAGCUCACUGGUCGAGUCGGCCUGCGCGGAAGAUGUAACGGGGCUAAACCAUGCACCGAAGCUGCGGCAGCGACGCUUAUGCGUUGUUGGGUAGGGGAGCGUUCUGUAAGCCUGUGAAGGUGUGCUGUGAGGCAUGCUGGAGGUAUCAGAAGUGCGAAUGCUGACAUAAGUAACGAUAAAGCGGGUGAAAAGCCCGCUCGCCGGAAGACCAAGGGUUCCUGUCCAACGUUAAUCGGGGCAGGGUGAGUCGACCCCUAAGGCGAGGCCGAAAGGCGUAGUCGAUGGGAAACAGGUUAAUAUUCCUGUACUUGGUGUUACUGCGAAGGGGGGACGGAGAAGGCUAUGUUGGCCGGGCGACGGUUGUCCCGGUUUAAGCGUGUAGGCUGGUUUUCCAGGCAAAUCCGGAAAAUCAAGGCUGAGGCGUGAUGACGAGGCACUACGGUGCUGAAGCAACAAAUGCCCUGCUUCCAGGAAAAGCCUCUAAGCAUCAGGUAACAUCAAAUCGUACCCCAAACCGACACAGGUGGUCAGGUAGAGAAUACCAAGGCGCUUGAGAGAACUCGGGUGAAGGAACUAGGCAAAAUGGUGCCGUAACUUCGGGAGAAGGCACGCUGAUACGUAGGUGAAGUCCCUCGCGGAUGGAGCUGAAAUCAGUCGAAGAUACCAGCUGGCUGCAACUGUUUAUUAAAAACACAGCACUGUGCAAACACGAAAGUGGACGUAUACGGUGUGACGCCUGCCCGGUGCCGGAAGGUUAAUUGAUGGGGUCAGCGCAAGCGAAGCUCUUGAUCGAAGCCCCGGUAAACGGCGGCCGUAACUAUAACGGUCCUAAGGUAGCGAAAUUCCUUGUCGGGUAAGUUCCGACCUGCACGAAUGGCGUAAUGAUGGCCAGGCUGUCUCCACCCGAGACUCAGUGAAAUUGAACUCGCUGUGAAGAUGCAGUGUACCCGCGGCAAGACGGAAAGACCCCGUGAACCUUUACUAUAGCUUGACACUGAACAUUGAGCCUUGAUGUGUAGGAUAGGUGGGAGGCUU